UACGUAGGGGGCAAGCGUUGUCCGGAAUCAUUGGGCGUAAAGAGCGUGUAGGCGGUCCGAUAAGUCGGUUGUGAAAGUCCAGGGCUCAACCCUGGGAUGCCGACCGAUACUGUCGGACUAGAGUUCGGAAGAGGCGAGUGGAAUUCCCGGUGUAGCGGUGAAAUGCGCAGAUAUCUGGAGGAACACCGGUGGCGAAGGCGGCAUCCUGGACCGAUAUUGACGCUGAUGCGCGAAAGCCAGGGGAGCAAACGGG
rnacentral:rRNA from 1 species